AAUAACUCAAGACGGUCUCGGCAAGCAGAUGGACGUCUGACGCUCCGCCUCCAAUGCGAGAUUACACUUUAAUUAAUUUUGAUCGGGCUUUUUAAGACACCGUUUUGGCACCGUCUCAGAGGCAGCUUAUUUUACUUAAAUGGUUUUUCACCGAGCUGGAAGCAGUCGUUCCACCAUUUUAUCCCCACUUCGAAGCGUUCCUGUGCGUUCGGCCACCGCGGAGUUAAAGUCCCGCUAAAAGUUUAGGGAUUUAUGUGACAUUCAGUCAAAACUGAAGAAAAACAAAAUCUGCCAGGCGAAGAUUAAACCUGAAGGAAUUUUGUUGAACUGCCGCCACUGUGGCCACGAGAGGCGACUUAGGCAUAAUCAUAACGGCGAAAUGUAAUUAAAAUGAGCUCGAUGAGGAAGGAAGGAAAACAGCUUCCUUCACCUUUAUUUUGUUGUUUUCCUCACAGAGCUUGAACGACUUUACCAACAAUUUGAUUAAUAUAUAUCACCAGACUUCGCAAAGACAAUCUCAAGCAUGAAUGCUGAACUCUAAAAUGUCGAUGACGAUUGGAACAAAUUGCCCACUGUGGCCUUUAUGUUUGAGCCCAAAGCCUGUUUACAGGUGCAGAGUUCAGCUUGACGGUUUCUCUCUGUCGCCGUCUGAGCGUUUGGACGCUGUCAGGAAUCAGAAAACCUCCAUGAAGUUCUCCAGACAUGUCUCGUCGUGCUGCUUUUGACUGGUUGACGGUUGAAAUGCGGCGCUGUGGGCUUAACGAUCGGCUCCGGCGGCGGCUCAGAUCUCCGGUUUGAUCGCUGAUGACAAAACAACUUUCCGAGCCAGCAGAAAGUUUGCGACGAGGCCGGGCCGGUUUGUGGGGAUUCGUGGAGAGUUGGCGGCUUUCCUCUGCCAGCGUUUGCUCACAGCGUGAAUUCACCGUGAGAAAUCAGCGUGGAAACGCAGUUUCCCUCACAACUUCUGAUCAAACAGUGUUCUCAAUAAGUUUUUUCUUCUUUAAUAUCAACUCUUUAAAAUAAUGAAGUCAAAAGUGUUCAUCUUUAGGAAACUCACUUAAAUCUGAAAACAUCGCGGACUUUUACAAGAUCAGCUGUUUGAGCUUCAGACGGGACCGGAAGACGUUUCAUAAGUGUGUAUAUUGAAAUCGAAGCCAUCUGCUCAAGUUGUACUGAAUGUGUGUGUGAGUGUGUGUGUGUUGCACAAGGAUGCGUGGUUAAGACCCCUGCUGGACCCCCCCCCCCCCCCCCCUUUGCCUCCUACACACAAUCUGCCAAUACUUCCUGCUCCACAAUCCAGGCACACUUCCACCAUGACUAAGGUAGACGAUCAGAAAUAUCAGAAAUCACUCCAGGGCCGGCCGGAGUUCUCCCGGGGGCUCGAGGCCCGCCAACCACCCCCCCCCCCCCCCCCCCCCCCACUGUAACUACACUGAAUGUCUUACUGUGUGCCCUCCAGCCCUCCUCAGCCUCUCGCUCUCUUCCUCCUCGACGGUCUUGAGCUCGGCCGUGACGGCAGGCUUCAGGGGCUGCUGUGUGGAGAGAAUCCCGUCGUCGGCUCAGCCCUCCGCUCCUGUCCGCCCUCCUCAGUCGCCCCGCUGCCACUGUGCUCCUGUCUUUCUCUCGUUUUUCCUCCCCCUCCCCCUCCGCUCUGCUCUUUUCCUUUAAUUUAUUGUGAAUUAAUUUCCAAGGUUGUUUUGCCUCUGUCGCUGGAGAUAAACCUUUUCUUUUCUGUCUUCCUUUUUUGUAAAAUUGAACCUCUUUCGGUUAACUUUAGUCACUGCUAAUGUAACAAAACGCACUGUGAUGAUUCCAGUAUUAAUAAAAGUUGUACUUAAACUGUG